rnacentral:misc_RNA from 1 species
GUUUUUCCGGUCAGGGCCUUCCAUCGGUGAAUACGAUUCUGGAUAGAAGAUAUAGGGGUGAGGGAUUUGAGGCCAAGCUGGUGAUCAAAUAGGCGGCGGACAAGAUUGUCCACUAUAGCAACCUCAUAAUUUUUCUUCGAAAGAUGGAGGGCAGUUGCCCAACCACAGUAGCCAUCACCGCCAAUAACCAUAACCUUUUUGGGUUUUGAGAUAUGUUCU